rnacentral:rRNA from 1 species
ACGGGGGUGGCAAGCGUUGUCCGGAAUUACUAGGCGUAAAGGGCAGGUAGGCGGAUUGGUAAGUUAAUUGUUAAAGGCCCAUGCUCACCAUGGGUAAGGCAGUUGAUACUGUCAGUCUGGAAGCGAGUGGGGGAAGACGGAAUUCCUGGUAGGGCGGUGGAAUGCGUUUGUAUCAGGCGGAACUGCGAAGGUGCAGGUAUUCAACAACGUUUUGCUUGACUCUAGACUGCGAAGCUGAGUGUAUCUAAAAG